rnacentral:lncRNA from 1 species
UGGGAUCAAAACAAAGGAACAGUGAACUCCUCAUAGCAUCAUCUUUGGGAUUACUCAGGAACCAGGACUUUUUUACACAAAUGUAAGAAAUUCUACCAAGGAAUCCCUUUACCUAGCAGGAUCUCACAAGGCUCCAAUCAGAUGUCAGAAAAGGCCUCUUGAUACAUCAGGUAGAACCUU